rnacentral:rRNA from 3 species
AGACCCGAAACCCGGUGAUCUAGCCAUGGGCAGGUUGAAGGUUGGGUAACACUAACUGGAGGACCGAACCGACUAAUGUUGAAAAAUUAGCGGAUGACCUGUGGCUGGGGGUGAAAGGCCAAUCAAACCGGGAGAUAGCUGGUUCUCCCCGAAAGCUAUUUAGGUAGCGCCUCGUGAAUUCAUCUCCGGGGGUAGAGCACUGUUUCGGCUAGGGGGCCAUCCCGGCUUACCAACCCGAUGCAAACUGCGAAUACCGGAGAAUGUUAUCACGGGAGACACACGGCGGGUGCUAACGUCCGUCGUGAAGAGGGAAACAACCCAGACCGCCAGCUAAGGUCCCAAAGUCAUGGUUAAGUGGGAAACGAUGUGGGAAGGCCCAGACAGCCAGGAUGUUGGCUUAGAAGCAGCCAUCAUUUAAAGAAAGCGUAAUAGCUCACUGGUCGAGUCGGCCUGCGCGGAAGAUGUAACGGGGCUAAACCAUGCACCGAAGCUGCGGCAGCGAACGUAUCACUUAAAGCGAUUCAGCGGGUUACGAUUGACG